UGAGUUCUACCAAACAAUGAAAGACUUUCAUUUUGGACUUGUUUGUCAAUAGUAUUCCUUCCGCAGGAUUCGAAAUCAAUGUACUGAGAUACCAACGACAACUCCGUCUAUAUCGUGGCUAGAGCUAGCUCUAUGCCAACCAAACAAAUCUGAAUGUAAUGUACCCAGGGCAAUCUCUAAACAACUCUACCAUUCUAGCAACUACAUAUGCACUGUUCUUAGAGUGAGCUUUGAAAC
rnacentral:lncRNA from 1 species